GUGCCAGCAGCCGCGGUAAGACAGAGGCCUCAAGCGUUAGGCGGAAUCACUGGGCUUAAAGCGUGUGUAGGCGGAUGCCUAAGUACCUUGUGAAAUCCCACGGCUCAACCGUGGAACUGCUGGGUAUACUGGGUGUCUUGGGCCAUUCAGGGGCGACUGGAACAAGCGGUGGAGCGGUGAAAUGCGUAGAUAUCGCUUGGAACGCCGAAGGUGAAAACAGGUCGCUGGGGAUGUGCCGACGCUGAGACACGAAAGCCAGGGGAGCAAACGGGAUUAGAUACCCCUGUAGUCC
rnacentral:rRNA from 1 species